AACGAACGCUGGCGGCAUGCCUAACACAUGCAAGUCGAACGAAACCUUCGGCUCUAGCUUCUCACUUGUGCGUAACCCGGUGGAAACUGCCCGUAGGAUCCGAAUGAGACCCCCCAACGACUUCUAAAAACGGCUGAUAUACUCGGACCAAUGCUUUAUCGCCUUUGGGUGGGCCGGCGUUGGUUUAGCUAGUUGGUAGGGUAAAAGCCUACCAAGGCGACGAUCCUUAGCUGGUCUGAGAGGAUGAUCAGCCACACUGGGACUGAGAGACGGCCCCGAUUCGUACGGUAGGAAGAAGGGGGGAAUCUUGGAGCAUGGGCGAAAGCGUGAUGCAGCAAGGCUGCGUGAGUGAUACAGCUUUUAGGGUUGUAAAGCUCUCUUAGCCGGGAUGAUAAUGACAGUACUGGGAGAAGAAGCACCGGCUAACUACGUG
rnacentral:rRNA from 1 species